UACGUAGGGAGCAAGCGUUGUCCGGAAUCAUUGGGCGUAAAGCGCGCGUAGGCGGCCCUGUAAGUCCGUUGUGAAAGUCAAAGGCUCAACCUUUGAAAGCCGAUGGAUACUGCAGGGCUGGAGUCCGGAAGAGGCGAGUGGAAUUCCUGGUGUAGCGGUGGAAUGCGCAGAUAUCAGGAGGAACACCAAUAGCGAAGGCAGCUCGCUGGGACGGUACUGACGCUAAGGCGCGAAAGCGUGGGGAGCGAACAGGA
rnacentral:rRNA from 1 species